rnacentral:rRNA from 1 species
UUCUGACCGUAAACGAUGCCAACUAGCGAUCCGCCGGCGGCUUCUCGGCCCUGGUGGGGAGCUUCCCGGAAACGAAAGUCUUCCGGUUCCGGGGGAAGUAUGGUUGCAAAGCUGAAACUUAAAGGAAUUGACGGAAGGGCACCACCAGGAGUGGAGCCUGCGGCUUAAUUUGACUCAACACGGGGAAACUCACCCGGCCCGGACACCGUGAGGAUUGACAGAUUGAUAGCUUUUUCAUGAUUCGGUGGUUGGUGGUGCAUGGCCGUUCUUAGUUCGUGGAUCGAUUUGUCUGGUUUAUUCCGAUAACGAGCGAGACUCCAGCCUACUAACUAGUGCGGGCAUUGCCUCUGUGCUUGUCACUUCUUAGAGGGAUUGGCUGCGCCUAGCGGCACGAAACGGAGCAAUAACAGGUCUGUGAUGCCCUUAGAUGUCCGGGGCUGCACGCGCGCUACACUGGCAAAGGCAGCGUGCUUGUCCGCCUCCGAAAGGAGCCGGUAAACCCUUGAAAAUUUGCCGUGAUUGGGAUCGGAAAUUGCAAUUAUUUUCCGUGAACGAGGAAUUCCUAGUAAGUGCGAGUCAUCAGCUCGCGUUGAUUACGUCCCUGCCCUUUGUACACACCGCCCGUCGCUGCCUAGAACUGAGCCAUUUCGAGAAUAUUCGGGAUCGCUGGUUGCGCGUCCUUCGGGGCGCGCCUCUGGCAAGAGAACGAACGUAAUCGCAGUGGCUUGAACCGGGCAAAAGU